rnacentral:lncRNA from 1 species
GCCAAUAUGACCACAUGUAGAAUAUGAUCUGGGAGAAGAAACAACUUACCUUGGGCGGCACUGAACUAACCACAUUACUGCAGGUUGGAAGAAGAAAUGAAGCAGUGAACAGUUGGAGAUCGAGGUGAAAUGGCAUCCAACAGAAUGUGAGUAAAAGCAACAAUGUUGCAAGUACAAGUAUAGAUGGUCACAUAUUGUGUUGGCUCAGGUAUUAAGGCCCACAAGCAUGAAUGGUGGAUGCAACACCUUACGAAUCGCCGCCCAAUCCAUUCAAGUCUGCUAGUCUUUUAUCAUCAUUGCCGAAUUCAUUGCCGAUAUGACCCACAUAUACAUUUAGAUGUAGGAGAAGAAAGAACUCACCUUGGGUAGCAGUGUUCUAACCACAUCACUGCAGGUUGGAAGAAGAGAUGCAGUAGUGAACAGUUAGAGAGGUGAAAUGGCAUCCAACAGAAUGUGAGUAAAAGCAACAAUGUUGCAAUUACAAGUAUAAAUGGUGAUAUAUUGUGUUGGCUCAGGUAUUAAGGCCCACAAGUAUCAAUGGUGGCUGCAAUACCUUAAUAUUGCCCCCCAAACCAUUCACACCUGCUACUCUGUUACACAUCAUUGCCGAACGGACCAACAUGUAAACCGACAGCUGACAGGAGAGAAGAAGAAAAGUUAUACAAUGAAGUAAACAAGCAGCGAACAAUCAAUGCAAAGAUAGGUAUACAAAGCUGUAUUCGAACUACACUCAUUUGUUAUACCUGAACUUUACAAUCUGAACAAACUAGUUUUACAAUGCAGUAAACAGGUAGUGAAGAAACAAUAUAAAGAAAG